ACGUUACUAAAUACACGCACAUAUGUAUACCACUAUUUAUAUGUGUAUAUAUGUGUGCAUAAGUACACACAGUAAUAUUUACAUGUACUUAUACAAGUUACCUACUUACUUCAAACCUUAAUUUUGGACAGGUAGUUGUGAUUUCGCUACGGUGUAAUUGGUUGCCCAACUAUAAUGUAUCAUUAUUGUUGAAUCUAAAAAGUGAUGGAGUUGCAUCUAUAUAUAUUGUACGUAUAUAUAUAUAUAUAUAUAUAUAUAUAUACAUGUAUACGUGUGUUGGUGUAUAUGCAUGAACAUGUUUGUAAUUUAUAUAUAUAUACAUAUAUAUUUAUAUACAUAUAUACUUAUAAAUACAUAUAUUUACAUAUGCAUAUAUAUAUAUAUAUAUAUAUAUAUAUAUAUAUAUAUUAGCUAUGUUGCUACUUAUAUAUUUUUUCAAUCUGAUUGUUAGUUCCUUACUGUCUCUUUGUUCAUUUACUAUGUCACAUUCACGCGCGCUCACACAAUAUUACAUACAAUACAUAUUUAAAUGUAUGUAUGUGUGUAUAAAUAUAUGUAUAUAUGUAAAAACAUACAUAAAUAUAUAUACUAUAUACAAUUAUAUAUAUAUAUAUAUUAUAUAUAUAUAUAUAUAUAUAUAUAUAUAUAUAUAUAGAGAGAGAGAGAGAGAGAGAGAGUUAGGUAUGAUAGAUAGAUAGAUAGAUAGAUAGAUAGAUAGAUAGAUAGAUAGAUAGACAGACAGACGGACAGUUAGGUAGAUAUAUAUAGGUAGAUAUAUAUACAUAUACAUAAUUAAGAUUCCUUUGGAUUUGUUAUUUCGUAUUUUAAUUGAGAGAUCUUGCUAGGUCGGUAUAAUUCGCACACCCUAACAAUAUUUAUUGAAUAUUGAAUAUCAAGACUCCUUGCAAAGGUGUUUGUAACUGAUAUUUCUGCCGUGUGUGUAGACAAUGCAACCCAGCUAAUUGAGAUAUGCAUUUUUGUUAAUUCAGACCUGUACUUUUAAUAAAGGUAUUUUCUAUAGUAUUUCUGAAGCGCAGAUUCCAAGUUAGGUGAACAAAAUAUUAAUAAGUAACAAAGAUGUACAGGUGUGAAUUCAUCACGGCCGUUUCAAGCGAUUCCCUUAAUUGAUUAGUAAAAACAUUACAUCAUUUGAAAGAAACGUUCUCUUCAGAUGACCGCAUUGACUUCAAGCAUAAAUGGCACUACUAGUUUCUUAACAUAUUCACAUAUUAACAUAUUCAAUAAUGGAACUCAAAAUAUUUACAAUGUUUCUUUUUUCAUAUCUGGGUUGCAUUGUUGAUGUGAGUAUGUUAAGGAAAUUUAUGCUUGAAGUCUAUGCGAUCAUCUGAUGAGAACGGUUUCUGCAGAGUUUUCAUUAAUCAGUCAAAGGAUUCGCUUGAAACGGCCGUAAUGAAUUGACACAUGUACAUCUUUGUUACUCAUAUAUAUAUAUAUAUAUAUAUAUAUAUAUAUAUAUAUAUAUAUAUAUACAUAUAUAUAUAUACAUACAUAUACAUACAUACUAGCCACUACACACAUUUUUUUCUUUCGUUGUUUCUCUCCUUGUUUUUUCUGUGUCCCUUUCUGUAGAAGAGCGUAGGCUCGAAGCGUAAAAGACUUUUUCUAUUCCUGAGCGUUAUACUAAUACAUCUGUUUGCUUUGUACACCACCUGUCUUCGUCUUUUGUUUGUGUACCGUUGGCUAUUUUUUUCCUAUGUCUUCCCUUCUCUGGAUCUUUCCUUCUCCUAUGUUUCCGACGAAGAGCUCCGCUCGAAACGUUAAACCCUCCUUCUUUCCUGAGCGUCCAAUAAUACUAUAUUUGUUCCACGUCCUCGCGUUGUUGUGUUUUUUUGUGCUUUCUUGUUUGGAUUAACUUUAUAUAUAUAUAAUUAUAUAUAUAUACGAUAUAUUAUAUACGAUAUAAACUUUUUCCAUCUUAAAAUGUUUGCAGCGAAUUUUAUGUCAUGGUUUACUAGCCAUCAUCAGACUAUUGUCUAUAGUUUUCUUUUGAGCUUUUUAUCUAGUUUUAGGCAUAUAAACAAAUAUAUUUGUUGCUGAAAAGCAUACUACUCGCCACUCUAAAUUAUUUCUAGCUCAUUUUUGUUUGUUACAUUAUGCAAAUUACCUAAACUACACGUUUGCUAUGCUUUUUUUUUGUAUGACUUUAAGUUCCUGACUACUGGAAACAUCAUUAGAAACCUGUCGUGUCGGCAAUUAAGUCAGAAUCAUGUGCCAUGACGGUUCUCCUACCUCUUUUACCUUAAUGGCAAGCCAAUUUUACUGGUAUUGAUUCUUGAGAUUAUCUCCCCUUCUCAAUUGCUGGUGGUCUUAAUUGCCAUUAUGGUACAUUCUCCGGAGGCAGGGAUAAAUUUAAUAAAUCAAGAAUUUAUGUCGAUGGUUUUUGAUAUUUCUGUAUUUGUCUGUGUUGUUCAAAUACGUCACUUCCCACUUCUAUUUCUCUUAGCUAAUUUUAUUCGCACGCACACACACACACACACAU
rnacentral:lncRNA from 1 species